AUCCUACGGGGCGCAGCAGUGGGGAAUAUUGCACAAUGGGGGAAACCCUGAUGCAGCAACGCCGCGUGAGUGAGGAAGUAUUUCGGUAUGUAAAGCUCUAUCAGCAGGGAAUAGAAAAGAAGGUACCUGAAAAAGAAGCCCCGGCUAACUACGUGCCAGCAGCCGCGGUAAUACGUAGGUGGCAAGCGUUAUCCGGAUUUACUGGGUGUAAAGGGCGUGUAGGCGGGGAAGCAAGUCAGAUGUGAAAUUCCAGGGCUCAACCCUGGAACUGCAUUUGAAACUGUUUUUCUUGAGUGAUGGAGAGG
rnacentral:rRNA from 1 species